UGGGGAAUAUUGCACAAUGGGCGCAAGCCUGAUGCAGCCAUGCCGCGUGUAUGAAGAAGGCCUUCGGGUUGUAAAGUACUUUCAGCGGGGAGGAAGGGAGUAAAGUUAAUACCUUUGCUCAUUGACGUUACCCGCAGAAGAAGCACCGGCUAACUCCGUGCCAGCAGCCGCGGUAAUACGGAGGGUGCAAGCGUUAAUCGGAAUUACUGGGCGUAAAGCGCACGCAGGCGGUUUGUUAAGUCAGAUGUGAAAUCCCCGGGCUCAACCUGGGAACUGCAUCUGAUACUGGCAAGCUUGAGUCUCGUAGAGGGGGGUAGAAUUCCAGAUGUAGCGGUGAAAUGCGUAGAGAUCUGGAGGAAUACCGGUGGCGAAGGCGGCCCCCUGGACGAAGACUGACGCUCAGGUGCGAAAGCGUGGGGAGCAAACAGG
rnacentral:rRNA from 2 species